rnacentral:miRNA from 1 species
GCGCCAGGCAAAUAUAUAUAUAUAUAUAUAUAUAUAUAUAUAUAUAUAUAUAUAUAUAUAUUUUCCACCAGGACUU